rfam:Ixodes scapularis strain Wikel colony gcontig_1108379765828, whole genome shotgun sequence.
CCCUGGUUAGCUCAGUUGGUAGAGCGCUCCACUGGAAAUGAGAGGUCCCUGGUUCGAUACCAGAACCAGGCG